AAUUAUGCAUAAACUUAUUACGAAAAACAAUAAAUCAUACCUUCCCUUUCUCCUUUCCUUUUUUUAUCAGUUUUCUCCUGAUGAUGACUCAAUUGAAAAAAAAAUCUGUCCAAUCUGAUUGGAUCACCAUGGUGCAUCUGAAAAAUUUUCUAUUCUAAUAAUUUAUAAUCUUUAUGAAUUAUCUUAUUCAUAGUGGAAUAGGAAUCAAAAUCACUAGG
rnacentral:lncRNA from 1 species